GAAAACUGGAAAGGAAGGGAUGGCUUGAUAUUCCUGAGAACUGGGCAGGGAAUUUUUCAUUUGGCAGAAAAAUCUGCAGAGUGAGCUGCUUCUCUUUCUUUUUCUUUUUUUCUUUCUGUUUUAGCUUGCAAAGCUUUCUUAAAAGCAAAGCUCUUUUUCCAUCUGAAAAUUGUGAGACAUUCCUCUUUCAAAACUAAUGUGUGCCAUGUCUGACUUGCAAAAAGCUCUUUGCAUGGAAGUGUAACUAAGAGGUUUCAAGAGGCUGAAGCAAUAAAGGCCAAAAAUUAAAAAAAAGAGCUAAAGUAUUUGCUCUGUGCAUCAAGAUUGUGUGGACAUCCUGUCUGGACCGCAGCACAGAUAAUAAUCAUUUGUGCAAAGGGGUCUCUUAGGCUGGGGCAAGCAGCAGGGAGAGAAGCCAACCUCGGUGUCUCCAUAGAGCUGGGAGAGAUCUCAAAUAUUUCUGUUUAUCUGCAGAACAGCUGCCUUCCUGGAAAAGGGGCUCUUGGACACCUCAAGCCCUAACCCCAGCCCUCCCGCUUGCUGGAUUGGAUGCUGACUACGGGCUGUUGAACUCUGCCUGCUUUCUGGUUCUUGCCUCUGGCUCUGACCCCAGUGCCUCACACCUUGACUGCUGACUUCGGUGCCUGGCUUUGGAUACCCCGAGUAGCGGUGCUGCAGCUACGUUGGUUCGGGGAACGUGCCAGCAGAAAAAACAGUGAGGCGAGGCAAUAUCUUUAGACCUGGGAGAGCUUUUGGGUGCAGCAGACUCUUCCCCGGGUCUGGGAAAGAUGCAGGGACAGCCUGAGCUCAACACCGGCUCCAACAACUACUUGCAGACCCUGC
rnacentral:lncRNA from 1 species